GACGAACCGUGCGAACGUUGUUCGGAAUAACUGGGCUUAAAGGGCGCGUAGGCGGGCUAUCAAGUCUGGGGUGAAAUCCCGCGGCUCAACCGUGGAACUGCCUCAGAUACUGACGGCCUAGAGGAAGGUAGGGGCAUGCGGAACUAACGGUGGAGCGGUGAAAUGCAUUGAUAUCGUUAGGAACCGUCGGUGGCGAAAGCGGCGUGCUGGACCUUUUCUGACGCUGAGGAGCGAAAGCUAGGGGAGCAAACGGG
rnacentral:rRNA from 1 species